GUUAGGUGUUUCAACUGGUCUUCUGUAUAAGUUGAAAUCCUAAAGAGGUAGAUUCCAACAGAUGUGCUGGCAAGUAAGUGCAAACAGGCAAAGAAGAACGAACCCUUCCUUCUUCAAUUAUUCUUGUGUAGGUCUCCAGUAGAAGGUAUGGCCCAGAUUAAAGGUAUGUCUCAAGAUCUGGAUUAAAGAGAUGUUUUGUCAACAGUAGCAAAAAGUGACCGACAUACUAGGGAUGGCUAGCAACAAACAGCCGGAGUAUACCAUCAAGGGGCGCACAGACCAGCAAGCACACAGAAGACACAGUCAACAACCAUCCAAUGCUUAAUUACAUCCAGGCAUCUGUAAAGGGAAAGACGCAUAUGGUGGGGGUAUCCCACCUCCUGCUGCAUAAGUAAAAACUGAACCUUUGUUGUAUUGUAUCACUGAGAUGUCAUUGUUCCCUUGACACACAUGCCAAGACUGUGGGGCUGCAGUGUGACAGGAGGGACCAUGGAUUAGUUACUUUUCCAUCACCAUAAUCAGCAUUCCCCGAAGACACUGUUGGAGAGAGACAGCAUUUAUUUUGACUCAUGGUUUCAGAGGUUUUUCAGUCCAUCAUGGUGCUUCCUAUGAUGAUGUGACCAGUCCAUGACAACAGGAGCCUACAGGCAGAAGCUGUUGAUGAUGUAUCAGAAUGCAGAGAGCAAACCAGGAAGGAGGCAGAAAUCACAUGACCCACUCAAGGACCUGCUGCAAGUGAUCUACUUCCGGGUCAGGUAGGCACCUCCCAUCAAGUGGAAAGGUAUUCAAAACCUGAGCCGUAGGGGAGGGACAUUUCAGAUGUAAAUCCAAACACAGCAGGUUGGAGCAGAGCUAUCGAGAUAAACUUGUGGCCUGGGAGAGAAGUCUCUGUGCUGGCAGAAUAGAGGUGGAGUGGUAGACAUCUGGGAGGUAGAAGCACUCUGAGUGACUUGAGUUUCUGGCUUGUAUAGCUGGAUAUCCACCCACCACUCAUUCUUUGUUUUACUUAAUGACUCAGUGGGUGAUUGACACUCCAUCCACUACUGGCAGAUGCCCAUAAGCGAGUUGUCCCCAUUUCUUCUUCAACUUAGAAACUGAGAGAACUGAAUGGGUUCCCCGUGAACUCAAGCUCACAAUCUGCCCAGAAGUUUGUCCACUGGUAAGGGACCUCCUCUCUGGGAGAGAGGAGAGAAAAAGUAGGGAGUCAGGGAAAGAGAAAAUAACAAGAAGUCGUACACACGGACCUUGUGCCCAUCCAGCCUGAGCCACUUUAAUUUCUCACCUGGAUCAACAAAGAGGACCUCAGCUUCUGCCCUUUCUCAACUCGGCCAGAGCGAAUCUGCUAAUGCAGCAGUCAGUCAGGCACAGACUAUGUAUAAUUCAGGGUUUCUCAACCUAUGCACCUUCACCACGUGGGCCAGCAUCAUGGGUGAGGGGAAAGAAAUGCUGUCCUUGGAUGUUUAGCAGCAUCUCAAACCUGUGCCUGCUACAGCCACUGUCACACUCAAGGCCUCCUCAUCUGUGACAAGGAGAAUGGGCAGCAAACACGCCAAAUACUCUUUACUCCAGGCAGUCCUGAAAUGCCUUCUCCUCCUUGCAGAGGGACAAUUCAUGAGCACCCUCUCUUCUCUGAUUCCGCCCCUCCCCCACCUCACCCACUCAGCUUCCUUCCUGCGGGCUGACCCUCCGCCUAGCCCUCUAGCUCAUGAGCUGGGGUCUCAGUCUGAGCUGAGGGCCCUGCUGCUCUUGCUUAGGGAGGAUGCCCCGCCCUAAGAUUUCCAAAGAACUCCCUCCAUCAGUAACUUUGGCUUUUGGCUUAAACGUUACCUUCUCGGUGACGCCAACUCAAGGCGCCUCUUAGGAAAUUAAAAUCUCAGUGCGUUCAUUUGCUAGGAUGGAAUGAGUCAGCGCGGGUUGGGUGAGUUAAAGCAAGGAGUGGGUUUUUACACAGAUCUGGAAGCUAGAAGUACAAAGUCGAGGCGCCUGCAGACCUGGUUUCUCCUAAGGCUCUCAUCAGCCGAAGCCCUUGCUUGUCCUUGCUGGGUGUACAGGCAUCCCAGUUUGUCCGUCCCAAUUCCCUCUUCUGUCCAGGACACUCUUUAACCUAGUCACCCAGAGUUCCAGGGCUCUCUGAGAUCUUAGGGUGUUAAGCUUGCACUUGGGAACUUUAGGGGUGUUACCUUCGGCCCGGGACACUCCAAUGGAUCAGCAAUGAUCAAGCUGGCAUUCUGAAUAGUUUACCUUUUCAUCCAGAUUAUGGUGUCUUUCUCUUCCAGGUCUCCACCAGAAUAUCAUAUUCCAUAAAGCCAGGGAUUUUUGUCAAUCGUAUUCACUGCUACAUUCACAGUGCCUAUUAGCACAUGGCAAACACUUGUUAGAAGUGUUACAGACAGGAGCAAGAACUGCUUCUCCACAUACCAGCUGCACCCUUGGGAAAGAUCACUUCUCUAUUCCUCAGCUCCCUCUCUCAGGCUAAGACAACCCAGAGCAUGAACUCUGGUCUAUUAGCAUAGGGAUGCUAACUUCUAGGUUCUCAAGAAAACCCUGUGAGAGAAAAGUUUCCUUUCAACUGCUUCUAAGGGAGGCACAAUUCCAGAACAUCAAGGUGAGGGAGCAGGAAGUGAGGUAAAGGUAGCUGAGAAGUGAGAAGGGGUUGUGGGGAGGUAGUGUCCAGACAACUGGCCCCCACUCCCUUUCAAAGCCAGGUCACACAGAACUUCUCCAGACAGGCCUCACAGAAAGCACUGGCCUGAGAACAGCCUAAGGCAAGAGGGCUCCCUCCAGCCUUGUGCCUCCCAUUAGCUAGAAGUAGCCGCAGGAGAGUUAAUGCCCUUGCAGCAUAAAGGUCUCAGCUGGUUCUUUAAACAGCCUGGAAGGGAGCCAGACCCUUGGCCCUCUGGAGGAAGGCUUCGUCCCAGUCUGGAAGCAGUAGAGCCUGCAGAGGUUGGCCCUAGGCUGCCAUGAGCGAAGGAAGAAGGGUUGAAAAGAGCCAGUUCUUGUUGCCUGUGGACUGGAAAGACCCCAGCCAGGUUGCCACCUUGGACCAUGCUUCCCCUUCAGGGCAGACCUCUCCCUCCAGUCUCCGCCCAGUGUCUCCUGGGAAGCCGUACUAGCAGAUCGCACCACUUGAGCGUUGGGAAGGCUGUCUGCGGAACUGUGCCGGGGAGGUCAAAUGAAAAUGGAGUUUGAGUCAAGCAACAGAAAACACAGGGGAUGGAUGGACUUAGAAGCCAAGGCUGACUUUAAACUCUCCCAUGCUACUACAGGAGACUGGCUACGAACCCAGCACAAUAUCAAAAAGCAAGCAUGCACAGAUAAGACUCUCAUAAAAUGAGCUCAGGCCUAUGAAGCAGUUUCAGGAAUACAACAGCCUCUCCGACUUUGCCUUGCCACUUGACUACUGUGUGUUCUGUGGAGAAACCACUCCGUGCUGAACGGAGCAGCCUUCUACCUCCAGCAGUGACUCUUGUCCUUCUCACACACAGCCCGGAUGAAAACACAACCUGCUUCACACAGCUUGUUUGUUGCUAAGUAACCACUUCUUCCUGGUAUGAGUGUGUGACCACCCUUUCUUACUGCAACUUAAUUGCGUGACCUUAACACUGGAGAAUGGAAUUGGAAUGGGGCAGGCGUGGGGGUGGGGCUUCAUUUCUCAUCACCUACACUGUCUGUUAUUGUCCAUGACCCUGAAGAACAUUUCCUGGGAAAAGGUGAAAAAAGGGAGGGGCAGAGGAAGAACUGAGAACACGAGGGAGGUAGGAGGAAGUCUAAUCUCCACCCAGCCACCCCAGAGACCUCCUGGUGACUGCAUGAGCCAGAGAGCAGACAACAACCUUCUGUCCCCUUUCUCCUUCAAACACUGCUAACCCACGGGUCAAGCAUGAGCAUAGGCUUUGAAGCCAGGAAUAGUCACCUCAACCCUUGCCACAGUCCCAAGGGACACAGAGGCCACCAGCAAUACGGCAGCAAUCUCCUCUUUCAAGAGCAAGAGAGAGAUAAGUAAGAGUUUCCUCUUAGGAGCUCUGUCUCACAUUCACUAUGUCCCUGAAGCUGGGGUCUAUGAGGCUAUUGGUGACUGAUGUUUCCCAGAAUUCCAUAGUCAUGCAGGAACCUGUCACUUCUCUCAGGAAAUCGAAUGGUCUGCCCCUAGAUCACUAUAAGUUAUCCACUACCACCAGCUUUAUAGAGGCAUGAUCAAGAAAUAAAGGUGUGUGUGGGCUGGGGGCAUGGCUCAGCUCAGAGAGAGCUCUUGCAUCUCGUGUGUGAGGAUCUACAUGCUUGUAAUCGCAGCACCAGCAAGAUGGGAGACAGCGACAAGGAAGAUCCUGGAAGUUCCCUACUCGGUGACGUUCCAGACCAAUGAAAGACUGUGUCUCAAACAAAAGAGCUAACACCUAAGGUCAUGCCCCUGACCUCCACGCAUGUGUCAUGCAUGUGCACACUGAACGCACAUUUACCCCUCCCACACCCACACAUGCACCCUCAUCUGCAUAUUCCCACAAGACCGCAUGCAGUUAAGGUGUACAUGUUUUGCUCAGCAUUCUCUACACUCAGUCUGUUUAACACAUCUGUGACCUAGCUAUGUGUGUGUGUGAGAUAAUACCUCACACCUACUCCCUUAACACAUAACAAUGAUGUAACCCUGCAUUAGUAAUAAGUGUGGUCACUUUGCUGUACACUGGUUCUCCAGAAGCCAGUCAUCUCAGAACUGCAAGUCCUCCUGUGUUACCCUUGGAUGAACGUCUCCCCCACUUACCUUACCUCUGAUCCUUAAUAAUUAUCCUUCUGCUCUAUCCUGAGGCUCUGACGUUUUCAGAUUCCACUUCUACAAGGAGAUCGUAUGCCCCGUGCAUUACUCAGUCUUCCCAUUGCUGUGACAGAGGUAAUUUAAGGAGGGGGAGGGGCAUUCUGCUUUAAGAAGAUGUGUAGGGAGGGCUGGAGAGAUGGCUCAGUGGUUAAGAG
rnacentral:sRNA from 1 species